CCUACGGGCGGCUGCAGUCGAGAGGCUUCUACAAUGGGGGAAACCCUGAUAGAGCGACGCCGCGUGGGUGAUGAAGGUCUUCGGAUCGUAAAGCCCUUUCAGUAGGGAAGAAGUGAUUCGGCGCUAAUAUCGUCGAGUCAAAGACGGUACCUACAGAAGAAGCUCCGGCUAACUCCGUGCCAGCAGCCGCGGUAAGACGGAGGGAGCAAGCGUUGUUCGGAUUUACUGGGCGUAAAGGGCGUCUAGGCGGGCCAGAAAGUCAGGUGUGAAACCCCCCGGCUCAACCGGGGAACUGCACUUGAUACUGCUGGUCUUGAGUACGGAAGAGGAAGGCGGAAUUCCUGGUGUAGCGGUGAAAUGCGUAGAUAUCAGGAAGAACACCGGUGGCGAAGGCGGCCUUCUGGUCCGAUACUGACGCUGAAGCGCGAAAGUGUGGGGAGCAAACAGGAUUAGAUACCCUUGUAGUC
rnacentral:rRNA from 1 species